UUUGCAUAAACUUGCUAUUAAAAUUUUUGCAUAAACUUUUUAAAAUUCCGCUAUAAAAAAUCUUUAAAUAUCAGUCUUAAAAAUGAGCCCAAUUUAAUCAGCACCAAAUUUCAUCUAAACGCUUGUUAAACAAUCUAUUUUAAUUUAGAACAGAGUUUCGUCUCUGUCGUUUCCCUCGGAAAUUCUAUAAAUUCAUCGAGCAACCAGAACGUUUCUCCAUUCACGCACAAUCUACGCUUUGUAACGGCACAGUGUGUAAUACACGUAAUCUUUCGUGAUCGGGCUGCACACCAAUCGCGAAACACAUUCCGAAAAUUGCACACAUACGACGAUUAAAGGCGGAAGUUUCGCCGACACAGGAAACGUUUGUCUAAACGCCGUGGAUAAAUAAACCGUGGUUAACUAUUGCACCGUUCAAUCGCAGCGUUAACAUUCGAUUCGAUCCGAUCACGAUCUAACACUUUUUCAAUCAUUUCCUACAUCUUACUUUAUUUACAAAUCAUUCUACAUUUUUAAUUUUUAUUUUUCAAUUUUUAUUUUGAAGUUGUACGUGCUUUUAAAGUAUGUAAUUUUAUCUGAUCAUGUAAACGCAAUUUUAUUUAAAAUACGAGAUUCGAAAUCUUUUUAUCUCAUCGCAAAGAGAAAUCGAUCAGGUUUAAUCUGUUAAUUGGUCGAUUUUUUAUAGCCACAUUUUAUACGUGUAAGAAGAUAAAUGUACGUAGAUUAGUUCGAUCCGGAAGUAUCCUACUAAAAGUUUACCAGAACCGUUUUUUAAUAAAUGUCUGUAUCUAAAAAUCGUGUUAAUUCGUCGUAAGCAAUUAACAGAUUAAAUCAAGCUUCAUGAACGAGAGAAAAUUUGACUUUCAGUAAAAAGUUUCUAGGAAUGUUCAUCUAAGAUAGCACAAAUUUUUAUACCGAAGGAUGAUUUACAACGAAGUUACAGAGAGACAGAACGAGGAGCAUUAAAACGAGAGACACGCAUAAAUAGCCGUAGACGAAGCUAGGGACACAUUGUGUACCAUUUUGAACCGGUGAAUAAGUUUUACGAGGACGAUUUAUUAAUAACCGGACACUACUUCCCAACACAGUUCUUGUCGUAUUCUAGCGGGCAAGCUUUUAAACGUUGCACAACUAAAAAAGACGAGAGAGAAUCGAAGAGAGAAUUUUAUGUGUGAGAGUGAACGAGUGUGAGUGAGAAAAUGGAAGGAGUGGCACGAGAUAAUAGAUUAAGAAGAUCACACGAUGUACGAUCGAACUGUAACCGAAGUAAAGUUGAUGUUAUUUAAAGUAAUAAAAGGAAAAUAUUAUAUACA